AAAAAAACCUAAUCAGCAAAUUGGAAAAAAAAUUAACAGAAUUAAAUAAUAUUAUUGACACAUGCAAUAAUAAAAACAAUAAUAACAUAUUAAAAGAAAUAGAUAAUAUAGAAAAUGAAAUAGGAAAACUCUAUAACGAAAAAAUAAAAGGGAAUCAAAUAAGAGCAAGGGUAAAAUGGGUUGAAGAAGGAGAGAAAAAUUCAGCAUAUUUUCUAGGGAUGGAAAAAUCAAGACAGAGUAGAAAAACAAUAACCCAAUUAUAUGAUGAUAAAGGUCAAAUUACAAGAGAUCAAGACAAAAUAUUAAAAUUAGAAGCAAAUUAUUAUAAAAAUUUAUAUUCUACAAAAAACCCUGAAAUAGAAGCAAACUAAAAAAUAUUUAGAUUCUCUCAAGGAAUAUAAGAAAUUAACUGACUACGAAAGUAAUUCCUGUGAAGGGGAAAUAACUGUUGAUGAAUGUACUGAUGCAAUUUUUAAAAUGAAACUUAAUAAAGCGCCUGGGCUUGACGGAUUAAAUGUGGAAUUUUACAGAACAUUCUGGGAUGAACUUAAAUCCUUUAUAGUCUCC
rnacentral:lncRNA from 1 species